UACAGAGGUCCCAAGCGUUGUUCGGAUUCAUUGGGCGUAAAGGGUGCGUAGGUGGCGCCGUAAGUGGGGUGUGAAAUUUCGGAGCUUAACUCCGAAACUGCAUUCGAUACUGCCGUGCUUGAGGACUGGAGAGGAGACUGGAAUUUACGGUGUAGCAGUGAAAUGCGUAGAGAUCGUAAGGAAGACCAGUGGCGAAGGCGGGUCUCUGGACAGUUCCUGACACUGAGGCACGAAGGCCAGGGGAGCAAACGGG
rnacentral:rRNA from 1 species